rnacentral:misc_RNA from 1 species
CGCACAUUGCGCCCUCCGGCAACCCGGAGGGCAUGCCUGUCCGAGCGUCAUUGCCUCUCCUCAAGCGUCGCUUGGUUUUGAGCCCUCGCCUCCCUCCCUCGGCGUGCUCCAAAGGUAUCGGCGGCUCGGCGUGACUCUGCGGGCGUAGUAAAUGCGUUUCCCGCCCCGGCAGAUUCACGCCGCGCCCGGCCAUCCCUUGAACAUACAACAACGAUUGACCUCGGAUCAGGCAGGGGUACCCGCUGAACUUAA